rnacentral:lncRNA from 1 species
GAAGGAAAUAUGCCCUAGAGGCAAUAAUAAAGUUAUUAUUUAUUUCCUCAUAUCAUGAUAAAUGUUUAUUAUUCAUGCUAGAAUUGUAUUAACCGGAAACAUAAUACAUGUGUGAAUAUAUAGACAAACAGAGUGUCACUAGUAUGCCUCUACUUGACUAGCUUGUUAAUCAAAGAUGGUUAUGUUUCCUAACCAUGAACAAGGAGUUGUUAUUUGAUUAACAAGGUCACAUCAUUAGUUGAAUGAUCUGAUUGACAUGACCCAUUCCGUUAGCUUAGCACACGAUCGUUUAGUAUGUUGCUAUUGCUUCCUUCAUGACUUAUACAUGUUCCUAUGACUAUGAGAUUAUGCAACUCCCGUUUACCGGAGGAACACUUUGUGUGCUACCAAACGUCACAACGUAACUGGGUGAUUAUAAAGGUGCUCUACAGGUGUCUCCGAAGGUACUUGUUGAGUUGGCGUAUUUCGAGAUUAGGAUUUGUCACUCCGAAUGUCGGAGAGGUAUCUCUGGGCCCUCUCGGUAAUACACAUCACUUAAGCCUUGCAAGCAUUUCAACUAAUGAGUUAGUUGCAAGAUGAUGUAUUACGGAACGAGUAAAGAGACUUGCCGGUAACGAGAUUGAACUAGGUAUUGGAUACCGACGAUCGAAUCUCGGGCAAGUAACAUACCGAUGACAAAGGGAACAACGUAUGUUGUUAUGCGGUCUGACCGAUAAAGAUCUUCGUAGAAUAUGUAGGAACCAAUAUGGGCAUCCAGGUCCCGCUAUUGGUUAUUGACCGGAGACGUGUCUCGGUCAUGUCUACAUUGUUCUCGAACCGUAGGGUCCGCACGCUUAAGGUUUCGAUGACAGUUAUAUUAUGAGUUUAUGAGUUUUGAUGUACCGAAGGAGUUCGGAGUCCCGGAUAUGAUCACAGACAUGACGAGGAGUCUCGAAAUGGUCGAGACAUAAAGAUUGAUAUAUUGGACGGAUAUAUUUGGACACCGGAAAGGUUCAGGAGAAGUUUGGAGCUCCGGGAGGUUACCGGAACCCCCCGGGAGGUAUAUGGGCCUUAUUAGGCCCAUGUAGGAAGAAGGGAGAAGGAACAAGGGAGGGGGGCGCGCCCCCCCAAGCCCAAUCCGAAUUGGGGAGGGGGGCCGCCCCCCCCUUUCCUUUCUCCUUCCCCCUCUUCCUAUUACUACUACUAGUACUACUUCCUAAUACUAGUACUCUUUCCUUCCUCCUCCAAAUAAGAUAAGGAAAAGAGAGGGAAACCUACUUGGAGUAGGUUUCCCCCUCCCCUAUGGCGCGCGCCCCUUGGGCCGGCCACCUCCUCCCUCCCUCCUUUAUAUACGGGGGUAGGGGGGCACCCUAGGACACACAAGUUGAUCAUUGAGAUCGUUCCUUAGCCGUGUGCGGUGCCCUCCUCCAUGAUAUUACACCUCGGUCAUAUUGUAGCGGUGCUUAGGCGAAGCCCUGCGACAGGAGAACAUCAAGAUCGUCGCCACGCCGUCGUGCUGACGGAACUCCCCCUCGGAACCUCUACUGGAUUGGAGAUCGAGGGUGCGUCAUCGAGCUGUACGCGUGUCAAGAACUCGGAGGUGCCAGAGUAACGGUGCUUGGAUCGGUUGGAUCGGGAGGACGUACGACUACUUCCUCUACGUUGUGUCAACGCUUCCGCUUCGGUCUACGAGGGUACGUAGACAACACUCUCCCCUCUCGUUGCUAUGCAUCACCAUGAUCUUGCGUGUGCGUAGAAUUUUUUUUGAAAUUACUACGUUCCCCAACAGUGGUAUCAGAGCCAGGUUUUAUGCGUUGAUGUUAUAUGCACGAGUAGAACACAAGUGAGUUGUGGACGAUAUAAGUCAUACUGCCUACCAGCAUGUCAUACUUUGGUUCAGCGGUAUUGUUGGAUGAAGCGGCCCGGACCGACAUUACACGUACGCUUACGCGAGACUGGUUUUACCGCCGUGCUUUGCACAUAGGUGACUAGCGGGUGUCUGUUUCUCCAACUUUAGUUGAACCGAGUGUGACUACGCCCGGUCCUUGUGAAGGUUAAAACGGAGUCUAUUUGACAAACUAUCGUUAUGGUUUUGAUGCGUAGGUAAGAACGGUUCUUGCUCAGCCCGUAGCAGCCACGUAAAACUUGCAACAACAAAGUAGAGGACGUCUAACUUGUUUUUGCAGGGCAUGUUGUGAUGUGAUAUGGUCAACACGUGAUGAGAUAUAAGUUGUUGUAUGAGAUGAUCAUGUUUUGUUGAAGUUAUCGGCAACUGGCAGAAGCCCUAUGGUUGUCUCUUUGUUGCAUAAGAUGCAAGUGCCAAAUAAUUGCUUUACUUUAUCACUAUGCGAUAGCGAUAGUUGCAAGAGCAAUAGUUGGCGAGACGAUCAUGUGACGACACAUUGAUAUAGAUCAAGAUGAUGAAGAUCAUGGUGUCGUGCCAGUGACGAUAAAGAUCAAGACAGUACUUUGGAGAUGGAGAUCAAAGGCGCAAGAUGAUCAUGGCCAUAUCAUGUCACAUAUUUUGAUUGCAUAUGAUGUUUAUCUGUUAUACAUCUUAUUCUUGCUUUGAUUGACGGUAGCAUUUUAAGAUGAUCUCUCACUAAUUAUCAAGAAGUGUUCUCCCUGAGUAUGCACCGUUGCCAAAGUUCGUCGUGCCGAGACACCACGUGAUGAUCGGGUGUGAUAAGCUCUACGUCCAUCUACAAUGGGUGCAAGCCAGUUUUGCACACGCAGAAUACUCAGGUUAAACUUGACGAGCCUAGCAUAUGCAGAUAUGGCCUCGGAACACGGAGAUCGAAAGGUCGAGCGUGAAUCAUAUAGUAGAUAUGAUCAACAUAAGAUGUUCACCAUUGAAAACUACUCCAUCUCACGUGAUGAUCGGUUAUGGUUUAGUUGAUUUGGGUCACGUGAUCACUUAGAUGACUAGAGAGAUGUCUGUCUAAGUGGGAGUUCUUAAGUAAUAUGAUUAAUUGAACUUAAAUUUAUCAUGAACUAGUCCUGGUAGUAUUUUGCAAAUUAUGUUGUAAGAUCAAUAGCUUGCGUUGUUGCUUUCAUAUGUUUAUUUUGAUAUGUUCCUAAGAGAAAAUUGUGUUGAAAAAUGUUAGUAGCAAUGAUGCGGAUUGGAUCCGUGAUCUGAGGUUUAUCCUCAUUGCUGCACAGAAGAAUUAUGUCCUUAAUGCACCGCUAGGUGACAGACCUAUUGCAGGAGCAGAUGCAGACGUUAUGAACGUUUGGCUAGCUCAAUACGAUGACUACUUGAUAGUUUUGUGCACCAUGCUUUAUGGCUUAGAAUCGGGACUUCAAAGAUGUUUUGAACAUCAUGGACCAUAUGAGAUGUUCCAGGAAUUGAAGUUAAUAUUUCAAGCAAAUACCUGAGUUGAGAGAUAUGAAGUCUCCAACAAGUUCUAUAGCUAAAAGAUGGAGGAGAAUCGCUCAACUAGUGAGCAUGUGCUCAGAUUGUCUGGGUACUACAAUCGCUUGAAUCAAGUGGGAGUUAAUCAUCCAGAUAAGAUAGUGAUUGACAGAAUUCUCUAGUCACCAUCACCAAGUUAGUAGAACUUCGUGAUGAACUAUAGUAUGCAAGGGAUGAUGAAAAUGAUUCCCGAGUUUUUCAUGAUGAUGAAAUCGAUGAAGGUAGAAAUCAAGAAAGAACAUCAAGUGUUGAUGGUUAACAAGACCACUAGUUUCAAGAAAAGGGCAAAGGGAUGGAAGGGAACUUCAAGAAGAACGGCAAGCAAGUUGCUGCUCAAGUGAAGAAGCCCAAGUCUGGACCUAAGCUUGAGACUAAGUGCCUCUACUGCAAAGGGACUGGUCACUGGAAGCAGAACUACCCCAAGUAUUUGGCGGAUAAGAAGGAUGGCAAAGUGAACAAAGGAAUAUUUGAUAUACAUGUUAUUGAUGUGUACUUUACUAGUGUUUAUAGCAACCCCUCGGUAUUUGGUACUGGUUCAGUUGCUAAGAGUAGUAACUCGAAACGGGAGUUGCAGAAUAAACAGAAACUAGUUAAGGGUGAAGUGACGAUGUGUGUUGAAAGUAGUUUCAAGAUUGAUAUGAUCAUCAUUGCACGCUCCCUAUACUUUCGGGAUUAGUGUUGAACCUAAAUAAAUGUUAUUUGGCGUUUGCGUUGAGCAUGAAUAUGAUUCGAUCAUGUUUAUUGCGAUACGGUUAUUCAUUUAAAAAUAUAGAAUAAAUUGUUAUUCUGUUUACAUGAAUAAAACCUUAUAUGAUUACACACCCAAUGAAAAUGGUUCACUGGAUCUCGAUCGUAGUGAUACACAUAUUCAUAAUAUUGAAACCAAAAGAUGCAAAGUUAAUAAUGAUAGUGCAACUUAUUUGUGGCACUGCCGUUUAGGUCAUAAUGGUGUAAAGCGCAUGAAGAAACUCCAUGCUGAUGGGAUUUUGGAAUCACUUGAUGCUUGCGAACCAUGCCUCAUGGGCAAGAUGACUAAGACUCCGUUCUCCGGAACAGUGGAGCGAGCAACUGACUUAUUGGAAAUAAUACAUACUGAUGUAUGCGAUCCAAUGAGUGUUAAGGCUCGCGGCGGGUAUCGUUAUUUUCUGACCUUCACAGAUGAUUUGAGCAGAUAUGGGUAUAUCUACUUGAUGAAACAUAAGUCUGAAAUAGUUGAAAGGUUCAAAGAAUUUCAGAGUGAAGUGGAAAAAUCAUCAUGACAAGAAAAUAAGGUUUCUACGAUCUGAUCGCGGAGACAAAUAUUUGAGUUACGAGUUUGGUCUUCAAUUAAAACAAUGUGGAAUAGUUUCACAAAUUCAUGCCACCUGGAACACCACAUCAUAAUGGUGUGUCCGAACGUCAUAACCGUACUUUAUUGGAUGUAGUACAAUCUAUGAUGUUUCUUACCGAUUUACCAAUAUCGUUUUUGGAUCAUGCAUUAGAGACAGCUGCAUUCACGUUAAAUAGGGCACCAUCUAAAUCCGUUGAGAUGACACUAUAUGAACUGUGGUUUAGCAAGAAACCAAAGUUGUCGUUUCUUAAAGUUUGGGGCUGCGAUGCUUAUGUGAAAAAGUUUCAUCCUGAUAAGCUCAAACCCAAAUCGAAGAAGUGCGUCUUCAUAGAAUACCCAAAGGAAAUUGUUGGGUACACCUUCUAUCACAGAUCCGAAGGCAAAACAUUCGUUGCUAAUAAAUGGAUCCUUUCUAGUGAAGGAGUUUCUCUCGAAAGAAGUGAGUGGGAGGAAAGUAGAACUUGAUGAGGUAAUUGUACCUUCUCCCUUAUUGGAAAGUAGUUCAUCACAGAAAUCUGUUCCUGUGACUACUACACCAAUUAGUGAGGAAGCUAAUGAUGAUGAUCAUGUAACUUCAGAUCAAGUUACUACCGAAUCUCGUAGGUAAACCAGAGUACGGUCCGCACCAGAGUGGUACGGUAAUCCUGUUCUGAAAGUCAUGGUACUAGACCAUGAUAAACCUACGAACUAUGAGGAAGCGAUGAUGAGCCCAGAUUCCGCAAAAUGGCUUAAGGCCAUGAAAUCUGAGAUGGGAUCCAUGUAUGAGAACAAAGUGUGGACUUUGGUGGAGUUGCCCGAUGAUCGGCAAGCCAUAUUGUAUAAAUGGAUCUUCAAGAGGAAGACGGACGCUGAUAGUAGUGUUACUAUCUACAAAGCUAGACUUGUCGAAAAAGGUUUUUGACAAAGUUCAAGAUGUUGAAUACAAUGAGAUUUUCUCACUCAUAUCGAUGCUUAAAAGUCUGUCCGAAUCAUGUUAGCAAUUGCCGCAUUUUAUGAAAUCUGGCAAAUGGAUAAACAAAACUGCAUUCCUUAAUGGAGUUAUUAAAGAAGAGUUGUAUGUGAUGCAACCAAGAGGUUUUGUCGAUCCUAAAGGUGUUAACAAAAUGUGCAUCUAUGGACUGGUGCAAGCAUUUCGGAGUUGGAAUAUACGCUUUGAUAAGUUGAUCAAAGCAUAUAGUUUAUACAGACUUGCAGUGAAGCCUGUAUUUACUAGAAAGUGAGUGGGAGCACUACAGCAUUUCUGAUAAGUAUAUGUGAAUGACAUAUUGUAGAUUGGAAAUAGUGUAGAAUUAUUCUGCAAAGCAUAAAGGAGUGUUUGAAAGGAGUUUUUCAAAGAAAGACCUCGGUGAAGAUGCUUACAUAUUGAGCAUCAAGAUCUAUAGAGAUAGAUCAAGACGCUUGAUAAGUUUUUUCAAUGAGUACAUACCUUGACAAGAUUUUGAAGUAGUUCAAAAUGGAACAGUCAAAGAAAGAGUUCUUGCCUGUGUUACAAGGUGUGAAAUCGAGUAAGACUCAAAACCCGACCACGGCAGAAGAUAGAAAGAGAAUGAAAGUCAUUCCCUAUGCCUUGGCCAUAGGUUCUAUAAAGUAUGCCAUGCUAUGUACCAGAUCUAUUGUAUACCCUGCACUGAGUUUGGCAAGGAAGUACAAUAGUGAUCUAGGAGUAGAUCACUGGACAUUGGUCAAAAUUAUCCUUAGUGGAAUAAGGAUAUGUUUCUCGAUUAUGGAAGUGACAAAAGGUUCGUCGUAAAGGGUUACGUCAAUGCAAGUUUUGACACCGAUCUGGAUGACUCUAAGUCUCGAUCUAGAUACAUAUUGAAAGUGGGAGCAAUUAGCUAGAGUAGCUUCGUGCAGAGCAUUGUAGACAUAGAAAAUUGCAAAAUACAUAACGGAUCUGAAUGUGAAAGACCCAUUGACUAAGAUUCUCUCACAAGCAAAACAUGAUCACACCUUAGUACUCUUUGGGUGUUAAUCACAUAGCGAUGUGAACUAGAUUACUGAAUCUAGUAAACCCUUUGGAUGUUGGUCACAUGGCGAUGUGAACUAUGGGUGUUAAUCACAUGAUGAUGUGAACUAUCGAUGUUAAUCACAUGGUGAUGUGAUCUAGAUUAUUGACUCUAGUGCAAGUGGGAGACUGAAGGAAAUAUGCCCUAGAGGCAAUAAUAAAGUUAUUAUUUAUUUCCUCAUAUCAUGAUAAAUGUUUAUUAUUCAUGCUAGAAUUGUAUUAACCGGAAACAUAAUACAUGUGUGAAUAUAUAGACAAACAGAGUGUCACUAGUAUGCCUCUACUUGACUAGCUUGUUAAUCAAAGAUGGUUAUGUUUCCUAACCAUGAACAAGGAGUUGUUAUUUGAUUAACAAGGUCACAUCAUUAGUUGAAUGAUCUGAUUGACAUGACCCAUUCCGUUAGCUUAGCACACGAUCGUUUAGUAUGUUGCUAUUGCUUCCUUCAUGACUUAUACAUGUUCCUAUGACUAUGAGAUUAUGCAACUCCCGUUUACCGGAGG